rnacentral:rRNA from 1 species
UACGUAGGGGGCAAGCGUUGUCCGGAUUUAUUGGGCGUAAAGAGCGUGUAGGCGGCUUGGUAGGUCCGCUGUGAAAACUCGAGGCUUAACCUCGAGAUGUCGGCGGAAACCAUCUGGCUAGAGUCCGGAAGAGGAGAAUGGAAUUCCCGGUGUAGCGGUGAAAUGCGCAGAUAUCGGGAAGAACACCCGUGGCGAAGGCGGUUCUCUGGGACGGUACUGACGCUGAGACGCGAAAGCGUGGGGAGCGAACAGG